GCGCACUUCCGGGGGGCCGUGGGAGGGUUCCGCCACGCGCUGACCUGGCGCCCCGAGGCCGGCGCUCGCCGAGCCUGGCAGCGCAGAUGCCGCGGGCGUAAGUGGCAGCCCCUUUGUGGGCAGCCCAGUCCUGGGGACUGGACGCAGCGGCGCCCUACAGAGCCGCAGCGCGGGCUGCCCCCGAGCCGGGAGGGCGAGAGCGCGAGGCACCGCGGCCGGAAGCGGGUUCAGAGAAGCACGUGCAUAAAGCUUUGUGUGUCUUUAUGGGAUGUCCAGCCUCAGGACCGCAGACUCGGUAAUGCAGGAACCCACGGGAACCCAGCGGCCGGCGCCCACGGGGCCGAGGCAGAAGUCACCCAUCUCGGUACAGUAAUUCCCACAGGAGAAUCGGGAGUUAUAAUUUUUCCAAUCAUAGGAGAACCCAUGAAAUUCACAAAAAUUAUAACCAGUUUUCUUUUCCACUUCCAUGUUCCACAGGUUCUCUGUACAAUGGCCACGUGAUUCUUUGUUUUUGAUACACACAUCCCAUUAGGCUUCACAACUGUUCAACAAAACCAGCCUCCUCAACACAAAACCUUGCAACAAAAAUCCAGUGACAGCCUCUUGGUUACUCGUAUGGUGAAUUAAAGAGACAAAAGAUGUUUUUGUUGUUGUUAUUGUUUUUUUUUUGAGUGACAUUCUUUUGUCAAAAAAAAAAAAACAAAACAACAUUCAUCUUAGUUGGCUAAAGAUCUUCUAAGUGAUUGGGGAAAACUGGUUUCACUCAUUUUCCAGAUCAGAAGAGACACCAUAAACAUUUUGAACCUCCCCUUUGUUUUCCUCCUGUAGAUAUAUGUAAUUAGAAAAUUCAACCUGAGAAAGCAGACGCCAGAAAACCCAAAUAGAAUAAACUAGACACUGAAUUCUGCCCCUCUCCCAGAGGGUAAACAGGGGAACUGCAUAUSAAAAAGGCCUGUUUUUUUGGCUCUAGGCUAACAGAGACCUUUGCUCAGGGUCUGGGCAGGAUGGCAAGCCAAGCAUCAUUUAUAUAUAUAAAAUUAUAUAUAUAUAAUUAAAAAAAAACAACUCGUUGGAGACCCUGGACUUUAGCGCCUGGAGUUCUAAUUUGCCUACCUAGUUUGACCAAGUUUAUAUGAAUAUCUUCUUUACACGUUUCUCCAAUUUCUAAAAAAUGAAAAAGGGAGGAAAAUCAUACCACCUUUAUUUAACUGAAUGAGUCAAACCCCAACGUACAGAAGYCUGAAAAUGACUGCUCAGUUGCUUGGCUUCACUCUGGGCUCUGUGCUCCCUGUCCCCUCAGCCUCCUGAGCGUGGCACCUGCUGUGGUCAGCCUUGCUGAAGAGGCUCCUGAUCUCUCAAGUUAACCAAGGCCCCACCCUCUGCUCCCACUGAUGUUGACAAGUUCAAUUCUAAGCACACUGUACCGGUGAAUUCAGAGAACAAUUUCAUAUGUACAAAAAUACAUCGCUUUGGAGAGCUGGAAAAGGUUUAAUACCUACAACACUUAUUUACAAGCUGUAACUUUCACACCAGUAAAAACAAACAUUUAUUUUGUCCUUGAUUUUUGGUGCAACUUAUACAUAAACAUUACAUUAGUUAGUCUGUACUUUUAAAAAUAAUAAAUCAACCAUAUAUACAAUUAAAUUUACAACUGAAAGUAAAUUAACUUGUUGGUAUGGUCUGACUGCAACUGAGUGGACCAGCAGAGGUUACCCCAGGCCCUGAGUCCUACACACAGCCUGGAACACACCAAGAAGACCCCUCUAAUCUGUACUUUAGAUGGAGCAUCUAAGCUUCUAAGACUUAAGGUGCAAAAGAAAGAUGCUGAUUAUACAGUUACAAUUACAUGUACAGACUUUAAAA